rnacentral:rRNA from 1 species
GGUUUAAUUCGAUGAUACGCGAGGAACCUUACCCGGGCUUAAAUUGCAGUGGAAUGAUGUGGAAACAUGUCAGUGAGCAAUCACCGCUGUGAAGGUGCUGCAUGGUUGUCGUCAGCUCGUGCCGUGAGGUGUCGGCUUAAGUGCCAUAACGAGCGCAACCCUUAUCUUCAGUUACUAACAGGUCAUGCUGAGGACUCUGGAGAGACUGCCGUCGUAAGAUGUGAGGAAGGUGGGAUGACG